GACGAACGCUGGCGGCGUGCUUAACACAUGCAAGUCGAACGGAAAGGCGCUGCUUUUGCGGGGUGCUCGAGUGGCGAACGGGUGAGUAACACGUGAGUAACCCGCCCUUGACUUUGGGAUAACUUCAGGAAACUGGUGCUACUACAGGAUAGGAGCUCCUGCAGCAUGGUGGGGGUCGGAAAGCUUCGGCGGUUGGGGAUCGACUCGCGGCUUAUCAGCUGGUUGGUGGGGUAGUGGCCUACCAUGGGUUCGACGGGUAGCCGGCCUGGGUGGGUGGACGCGCACAUUGGGCCUACGGGAGGGCGCAGUCUCGAACGUGAGACAGCGGUGGAGAGUAUGACCCAGUGGGGGGGCGCGUGUGACGGCAACGCCGGGUGCGGAAUGCCGGCUUUCUGGGUGUAAACCGCAUUCGGCUAAGACGAAGCGUGAGUGACGGUAAUGGGUAAAGAAGCACCGGCUAACUACGUG
rnacentral:rRNA from 1 species